rnacentral:rRNA from 1 species
CCUACGGGAGGCAGCAGUGGGGAAUCUUGCACAAUGGGCGAAAGCCUGAUGCAGCAACGCCGCGUGCGGGAAGAAGGCCCUAGGGUUGUAAACCGCUUUCAGUAGGGAAGAAAAUGAUGGUACCUACAGAAGAAGGUGCGGCCAACUACGUGCCAGCAGCCGCGGUGACACGUAGGCACCAAGCGUUAUCCGGAUUUAUUGGGCGUAAAGAGCUCGUAGGCGGUUCGGUAAGUCGGGUGUGAAACUCUGGGCUCAACCCAGAGAGGCCACCCGAUACUGCUGUGACUAGAGUGCGGUAGGGGAGCGGGGAAUUCCUGGUGUAGCGGUGAAAUGCGCAGAUAUCAGGAGGAACACCAGCGGCGAAGGCGCCGCUCUGGGCCGUAACUGACGCUGAGGAGCGAAAGCAUGGGUAGCAAACAGGAUUAGAUACCCUGGUAGUCCAUGCCGUAAACGUUGGGCACUAGGUGUGGGUCUCAACCAACGAGAUCCGCGCCGUCGCUAACGCAUUAAGUGCCCCGCCUGGGGAGUCGGUCGCAAGCUAAACUCAAAUGAAAUUGACGGCUGAGACGUGCGAGGACGACGACGAGGGAGAGG